GACGAACGCUGGCGGCGUGCUUAAUACAUGCAAGUGGAGCGACGAACCAGGCUUCGGCCUGGGGCAGAGCCGCGAACGGGUGAGUAACACGUGGGUAACCUGCCUCGAUGACCGGGACAACCCGGGGAAACCCGGGCUAAUACCGGAUGUGCUGUCCCCACAUCAGUGGAGACAGGAAAGGAAGCUUCGGCCUCCGCAUCGAGAUGGGCCCGCGGCCCAUUAGCUUGUUGGUGUGGUAACGGCUCACCAAGGCUGCGAUGGGUAGCUGGUCUGAGAGGACGAUCAAGCCACACUGGGACUGAGACACGGCCCAGACUCUACGGGAGGCAGCAGUAGGGAAUCUUGCGCAAUGCGCGAAAGCGUGACGCAGCAACGCCGCGUGGGGGAA
rnacentral:rRNA from 1 species